AGCUCCAAUAGCGUAUAUUAAAGUUGUUGCGGUUAAAAAGCUCGUAGUUGGAUUUUGGGGCUAGAACUUUGGGUCCGGUUUAUCCGCGCACUUACGGUUCUGCCCUUCUGUCUGGAGACUCGGGGAGGUUCUUCAUUGGGCCCCUCGGGAAUCUAGGACUUUUACUUUGAACAAAUUAGAGCGUCCAUCGCAGGCCUACACGCCUUGAAUACAUUAGCAUGGAAUAACCUAUAGGACUUCAGUUCUAUUUUGUUGGUUUUAAGGACCGAAGUAAUGAUUAAUAGGGACAGUUGGGGGCGUUAAUAUUUAAUUGUCAGAGGUGAAAUUCUUAGAUUUAUGAAAGAUUAACUUCUGCGAAAGCAUUCGCCAAGGAUGUUUUCAUUAAUCAAGAACGAAAGUA
rnacentral:rRNA from 1 species